UUAUUCUUCAGCUCUCUUGGCUGAGCUGAAACACCGCUCUCUGUCUGACAGAAUGCACCUUGAGAGCCAUCAUCUCUACAUCCGGGCGCAGCAGAGACAACAUUUGGAGGGGGGGUCAUCACCACAGCCUCACUCAGAAGAAAAGAAGCUGCUGAAGGAGUUGGUUGUGAACUCACUACUACAGUUGGACCCGGCUGAGUAAAACUCAUGAGGGAAGUCAUCACUGCUGCUGGACUCAGAGUAGAAAAUGUUUGGAGGAACAUCAUCACUGCUGGAGGAGCUGGCUGUGAGAUGCAAAGGAAAUAAACAUGGAGAAUGUGAUGCAACUGAGAGAAGAACAAACCUACAAUUACAACAGACUCAAGCGUAUGGAGAACAUUAGAAACUGGACACAUAUACCACAUCCACAGCGGACAUCUUCAGUGAUUAUCAUCGCUUGUAUUUAUUUUCAGAGGAAA